rnacentral:misc_RNA from 1 species
GUGAAUCAUCAAAUUUUUGAACGCAAAUUGCACUCUCUUCGGAGAGUAUGCCUGUUUGAGGGUCAGCCUAAAAAAAAAAAUCGACAUAGUCGCUGUUUCGCGGUGACAUUCGUCGGAAAUUUGGUCAUCUUAAACCUUUGGGUUUUAAGCAUCUUAAAAUUUUCUUUAUGAUUCCACGAACGUUUCUAAGAUUUUAUUUCUUACACACGUUUAAAGGAACGAUCUUUAUGAGACCUC